AUUGAACGCUAGCGGGAUGCUUUACACAUGCAAGUCGAACGAGUGGCGGACGGGUGAGUAAUAUAUCGGAACGUGCCCAGUAGCGGGGGAUAACUACUCGAAAGAGUGGCUAAUACCGCAUACUAUGGGAGCUGCCAAUAUCGGAUUAGCUAGUUGGUGGGUGAAAGGCCCAUCAAGGCAACGAUCCGUAGCUGGUUUGAGAGGAAGACCAGCCACACUGGGACUGCGACACGGCCCAGACUCCGACGGGAGGCAGCAGUGGGGAAUUUUGGACAAUGGGGGAUACCCUGAUCCAGCCAUCCCGCGUGUAUGAGAAGGCCUUCGGGUUGUAAAGUACUUUUGGCAGAGAAGCGGUAUCUGCAGAAUAAGCACCGGCUAACUCCGUGCCAGCAGCCGCGGUAAUAC
rnacentral:rRNA from 1 species